rnacentral:rRNA from 1 species
AGUUGGAUUUUUGGGUGGGGAGUGGCGGACGGGUGAGGAAACAUCGGAAUUUACUUUUCGUGGGGGAUAACGUAGGGAAACUACGCUAAUACCGCAUACGACCUUCGGGGAAAGCAGGGGACCUUCGGGCCUGCGCGGAUAGAUGAGCCGAUGUCGGAUUAGCUAGUUGGCGGGGUAAAGGCCCACCAAGGCGACGAUCCGUAGCUGGUCUGAGAGGAUGAUCAGCCACACUGGAACUGAGACACGGUCCAGACUCCUACGGGAGGCAGCAGUGGGGAAUAUUGGACAAUGGGCGCAAGCCUGAUCCAGCCAUACCGCGUGGGUGAAGAAGGCCUUCGGGUUGUAAAGCCCUUUUGUUGGGAAAGAAAAGCAGCCAGUUAAUACUGGUUGUUCUGACGGUACCCAAAGAAUAAGCACCGGCUAACUUCGUGCCAGCAGCCGCGUAUAA